UCAUACCAUGUCAUGUGUCUUCUCAGUCAUGUUGACACUGGUCUACUACCAGGUCAUGUGUCUUCUCAGUCAUGUUGACACUGGUCUACUACCAGGUCAUGUGUCUUCUCAGUCAUGUUGACACUGGUCUACUACCAGGUCAUGUGUCUUCUCAGUCAUGUUGACACUGGUCUACUACCAGGUCAUGUGUCUUCUCAGUCAUGUUGACACUGGUCUACUACCAGGUCAUGUGUCUUCUCAGUCAUGUUGACACUGGUCUACUACCAGGUCAUGUGUCUUCUCAGUCAUGUUGACACUGGUCUACUACCAGGUCAUGUGUCUUCUCAGUCAUGUUGACACUGGUCUACUACCAGGUCAUGUGUCUUCUCAGUCAUGUUGACACUGGUCUACUACCAGGUCAUGUGUCUUCUCAGUCAUGUUGACACUGGUCUACUACCAGGUCAUGUGUCUUCUCAGUCAUGUUGACACUGGUCUACUACCAGGUCAUGUGU